rnacentral:rRNA from 1 species
UACGUAGGCAGCAAGCGUUGUUCGGAAUUACUGGGCGUAAAGAGUACGUAGGUGGUUUGCCAAGUCCGAUGUGAAAUCUCCUGGCUUAACUGGGAGGGUGCGUUAGAUACUGGCAGGCUUGAGUGUGGGAGAGGAGAGCGGAAUUCCUGGUGUAGCGGUGAAAUGCGUAGAUAUCGGGAGGAACACCUGUGGCGAAAGCGGCUCACUGGACCACAACUGACGCUGAGGCGCGAAAGCUAGGGGAGCAAACGGG